UCAUCAGGUAGGAUAAUCCUCACUUGUUCCUCCUUUUGGAGGGCAGAUACAGAGUGAAGUAGGUCAGAAAGAGAACAACAAAUAUCGUACCAUAUCACAU